rnacentral:tRNA from 1 species
CGGAAGUGUGGCCGAGCGGUUGAAGGCACCGGUCUUGAAAACCGGCGACCCGAAAGGGUUCCAGAGUUCGAAUCUCUGCGCUUCAGCCA